rnacentral:rRNA from 1 species
GCCGGCAGCCAUAUCACCCUGGAGCCCAAGACCGGUUUUCCACUGAAGCUAAGCAGGGCUGAGCCUGGUCAGUACCUGGAUGGGAGACCUCCUGGGAAAACUAGGUUGCUGCUGGAA